CCUUGAAAUCUACAGCUCUCCUUCAAAGAGAGUAAGUUCCUGGGACUGCCCAGCAUGCUCUUCACUCACCAAUUGUUUUUUUUUUUUUAUAGGAGCUCCAAAUAUGGUUCCCAGAUGACAAAGCUGUAAAUUCUUUAAGUCUAAGAUACAGCAAUGUGAGCUGAUCAAAACUGGCAUUGCCACAGUCUCUCUCUCCUUUCUUGCUGUAUGUUCCUGGCCCCUUCUUUGCACCCAGCUGGGUGUUUUUCUGAAUUAGCAGUGAGCCAAAUUGGUAAAAAUAGACUCCCAAACUGCUGACCAAACAUUUCCACCUCCUUUCUUGGAUCAGAUCAAAUGCUCAUGUACAUGCUAUAUUGAUUCAGCAUUCAAAGCCAAUGAAAUAAAAAACUUGUCUUUUUGUAUUUUUCAUAGCGGUUUGGUUUCCCACCGUAUCAGCAAGCUUGAUCUUACCCCACUGCUGCAACCAAUGCACAGGAGAGCUUGGGGAAGGGGAGAUGAAGGAGAAGAGCACUUUUUUCAGCAGAAGAGCAUUUUUUUUCAGCAGAAGCUUGCAAUUGGAGAGGUUUAGGCUGAAGAGUGGCUUAGGAUGGCCAAAAGUGACCUGAAGCCCUCUGAGAUGUGGUCCAGCCUGUGCUCGGCUGCAAGACUACUGGCAAAGCAAGAGAGAAUUGUCUUGCCAGGGAGUUUCAGGGCUACAACCUCUCCUUUGCUGAUCACAAGGGCAUUGGGUUUGGUUUCUGACAUGGUAGUAUAAGCCUAACUUAACUGACUGUCUUGUGGUUUAAGCUUAAACUGACAGUGUAGCCUCAGAGUCUAAAAACAUGCAACUGAUGAAAAUGGUAUUGAAUUGGUAUUUGUCCCGUGGAAUUGGGAACUGAAGCGGUUCAGGGAGCAGAUACAGCUAAUGAUGGCUGGGUUAGUUCCCAAUGGAAUUGGCUUGCCUGAACUGGCUAUAAUGUGCCUGCACGAGCGUUCGUGCUGGCUGGCAGGAGAAAGAGCCACGGAUGGGGAGGACAAGACUGCAGCGGCCUAGAUUUAGGCUUAAACAGCCCAGAUUUAGGCUUAAACUGCAAUGACAUUUCAUAUCCAGAGUGAGCUGAGGAGCAGGUUACGUCUGCCCAGGUGUGGAGCCUUAAUGACUGCAAUUAUAGUCAGCCGAGAUAGGAAAGAGCAGUGGGAGCAGAAGGUGGAGACCACACAAGUCUCUGCCCUGGGACCCGCACCGUGCACUCCAUGCUGAAAAGGACUGAUGGGAGAUGGGAGAAGGUCCGGGGUGCUCUUAUUCCCACUGUUUUCAGUACUUGACUUUGCUGGUUCAGAGCUAUGAAUUGUAUGAAAUCUUCCAGGGAUUACACUGGGGUGUGUAGAUACAAUCCUAAGCGACAUUAGUUCAAAUCAACUUUUGAGGAAGGGAAGGGUUUCUCUACUCACCGGCCUUACCCAGCUCAUCUUGGAAACUCAGCACAACUCUCAGCUCCCAAAAUCAGCGCCUAAUGUUGGGUGAGAUGUUACUUACUGCAGGCAGUGAUAUUGUAUGGCUAACUCCCCAGGGGAAAUCAUGGCCUGUAAAUGUGCAAAAGCUCCAGUGGCCCAUUUCCUCUAGAUGUAACUCUGAUUUUUACAUAUUUUCAUUCUUUUUCUGCUAUGGUUUGUACAAGGCACAAUAUUCUUGUCCUGGAAUGUUAUAUUGCUGAGUUGUUGGUUGCUGCAAUUUCACAGCAGGAAAGCAUGAAUCUGAACUAUUAACAUUUUAGUUCCUCUCCUACAAUAUGUAUUUGGAAACGUGGUUAAUUGCUGCGAUUGGUCUUUAAAUACUGUAGUAAUAUAGGAGUUAAGUGUAAAUAUUCAAACCGGUGCAUCUAAGGCUGAAUUACUAAAAGCAUGGUGUGCAACGCUUGCUGUACUGAUUGGUUCCGGAGGGACUGGUUAGGUGCUAAGGGUUUCUAAAACUCACAGCCGUGUUUACUCUCUGUAAACUAAAUAAGAGACUUAGAGGCCAAACUAGAAAUGUGCUGGGAUUUGAAAGCUUUUUUUUUUUUUUUAAAUAUAAAUAAAUGCAUGAGCCUAUGAUCACAGGGAAGCAGAGAAAGAAAGGUGAAGCAAUAUUCUAGGUAUGACUGGGUGAUACUGAGCCUGCCUCAAAGAGUUUGUUACAACCAUGAGCUCUUUAAUUAAGUGGAAUCUACCCCAGCGCAGAGGGUUUCUGUAAAAAGCCUUUACUCCACAUACAACUUUCUUCAGGUCUCUGUGAAGGGCAGAAAUUUGGCCUAACUGGUGAGGUUCUGCGUCAGAUAUAAAUCCUUGAUGAAAAUCCCAGUUAUAACGUUCAGCCACUGGAUGUCCUCAUUUUCAAAGGUCUGCAAAGGUUGAUGAGCUGGAAAGCCACAUGUUGUUGACAGUUUGCAGAGCACUGCAUAAAAAUAUUCUGUGUGUAUUGGGUAUUGCCAAACUCCAAGCUUACCACCCAUAAAGCAAUGGAAUCAGUUUCACUUCUCAAGGUAAUUAAACUCCUACUGGAUGCAGAACAUGUAUUUAAUCUGCUCCUUUCUCCAUCUCUCUCUCUUUUUUGCUGACUUAACUAUAAUUUAUGUAACAGCUUGCUUUGCAGGACUCUUGCAUUCCUAAACACCGAGAAGUUCACUAUGUUUCUUUCUUUUUCCAGUGUUACCUUCACUGUAGUUUAUUGCAGUUUUUACUGCGGAUUCUGACUGCAGCUUGGUUUUCCCAAGUUCCUAUGAAUUCCCAAGGGCGCAUCCCUCUGCUCGCAGGAGUCCUGAUCUGAUCCCAUGAAGACUUUGUCAGUGAUCGGUAAUCACAUCGUGCGCAUAGCUACACCUGUCCAGAGAGCUUCACUUUGCUUUUUCUCAGAAGGCUGGCUUUCUCCUGCAGCUCGCGAGCCAUCACCACCCACCUUUCCUUUGCUGCAGGCUCCCCUGCCUGCACCAUCACGGAAGGUGUUUCUCAGCCCCGAGCUUCCCCUGCAGCUAAAGCUCUCAUCCAGCCUCCUCGUUCUUGCAGCUCUAAUGGCAUCAUCCUCGUUGCCAAACAUUCCUGUCUUCUGAUUAUGAUUUGACAUUGCUUGUCAGACACUCUCCAACAACUUAUAAAAAUCUGAGCUGGCAGAAAAAUUGGCAAAGGGCUGUCUGUAGCCGCACGUGGAUUUCAUGUUUGUUCAUGAAACGUGGAAAACAUGUUCAUGAAAAUCUGCAUUGUUGGUUUUUUUUCGAUCUGAAGUUUCAAGAAGAAAAAUAAUCUACUUCUCUUAGCUUUCUGCCUUUUAAUUUCUCUAAUUUAAGCUGCUGUUAAACCACGUUGUCUUUCCAACAAGGGGGCAGCUUGUGCUCUGUGAACACUUGUUUGAAAUCGUGAAAGCAGGUUUUGCCAGAGGACAAACUCAGUAGAAAAAAUUGAGGCUAGACUUCUUUCCCUCAUAAAGGAAACUCGCCUUCUGGUGUAAAUGGGCAUACUUACACUAGAUACGUACACUUCAUAUACCGGCAUGAUAGUUUCCUUCCUACCACGCUGGUGCAUGAGGCAUAUCUCCAGAAGGAAUCAGCCCCUGUAGCUGCUGAAGCCUCCUAAGGUGACUGGGGCCAGGUAUGCAUUUAUUUAUCUACUUGCUAACAUCUCUUUCCAGUGGUUCAGCAUUGGAUGAGGGCUUCAGAAAAAGAGAUGAACAUGUUAUCUUUCCACGCACAGCUGUGCAGGACCAGCAGAUCCUCAUGGAAACUCGCUCACCCCCUGCGCGUCCCGUCGUGCCCGCUGUGGAAGGGGAGGCAUGCCCAGAGCUGCCCGGGUGGGCAGAAACCCGGGGUGCUCCUGAUAGGACUCCUGAGUCCUGGGAUUUGCUCCCAGCUCAGUAACCCUGCUGGUUUCUGGCCUCUGAAACAAACCUAACAUUAGGUGAGCCGGGAGAAAGAUUCGGAAGAUGAAGGGCAGAGAGAAAACCACCACGGCAGAUCUGGACGACACGAUGCUUGUCACAACGUUGUUAUCUUAACCCCAAGUACGCGCCGAUGUUUCCGUAACAGGGAAAGUAGCAGAGUGUGGUAGGAGCAGACUGCUUUGUAGACACAGUGAGGAGCUAAGAGCAGCUUCAGAAGAGGACAUGUGUUGCAGGAGUCCUCCCAUCCCGGAGGUGCUGGCAGCCGAGGAGCUGGCCAUGGUUGACUGGAAAUGAGCUCUCUCCACUCCUGGUGCGAGACUAACCAGGGUGGGGGAGAAAAUUAAAUAUCAUGUCCCUGCCCUAGAAACUGUGACACUACUGUGAAAUUUGCUCACCUUAGGCUAAUGACACUGAUGGUGCAUCUAAAUUAUCGUCUCAGAAAAUUCGGCCUCUAAACUGCUUAUGAACUGGUGACAGCCUGCGGUCUGCUCAGCGUUCGCCCCUCUUGCAGGAGAAAACUUAUCGAUCCUUUUCUGUCAUUCCGAAGGGUGUUGUGGGCCACGCUAACAGUGGUGGCAUAUACGGAUGAAGAAGAAAUGGGGUUGGAGUCUAACAUCUAUGUUCUGAGGUCGGACGCUGCCACUUUUCCCUCUGGCACCCAUGGUCAUCCCUGGAGAGCUGAAGCCCACUGUGAUUUUGCGGGGAUCUACCUGCUCUUUGUUGUGGCUUUUGAAGAGCUCUUUGGAAAAUGUGGGACACUGCUUUUAGUCAUUCCAAAACUGGAGAUUUGACUCGGAGUGCUGAAAAGAGAUUAAAGGUUUUGCAAGCAGCAAACCUUAGUUUUACAGCAAACACAGAGGAUUUUGCUUCCUCAGUACAAAAGCCCAGAUGCAGCUCAAAUUAAAAUCAAUAAUUGAUCUACAUCCAUUUACAGAUACAACUACAUUCACGUAGGCUGGGAAGCCUUAUCCCUGUGUGCACAUUUUCCUUUUAAGCAGCUUGUACUCAGGCUGCCUGCAAAUAUAUCUGCUCAUCAAGCGGGCAACACUUGGUCCCUUCUAGGAAUGAGCUGGGGCCAUUUUUUUUCUGCUGGAUGCCAAGAGGAGGACUGACAAGACAGAUGGAAGCUGCUGAACUGUUACACAGCUCGUUAGAGAAGCGCAGAGCCCUUUAAAGCUCAGGGUGCAGCCAGGAUUUAUCUAUUGAGAAAUGGCAGCAGUCCCCAAACUACGUAGCUUGCAUGGGCAACAAAUCUACCUUGAAAUAAGCAGCGCGGAUGCAGCCUGUAAGGCUGAACUCAAAAUAAACCUUUUCUUUUUUUUUUUUUUUUUUUUCUGAGAUGCUAUAAUAUGGGACGAGGCCGAGCAAAUAUACUGUGACUCUCCUCUGUUCGGUGCUCCGUGUCCCAGAUCACUGACUGCAGCUACGCCAGGCUACAGGUCACGUGCCUUUAUUCCCUAUAUAGAGAAAAAUUCCUGCUAUGUUAACGACAGGUCUACAGGAAUUUCAUUUUUGCUUCAGCUGGUUAAUGAACCGACGUCUUGCCCUGAUGGGUCCUUGCAGGGAGCACAUUGCAAGGGCUUCCCGCUCCCAGCACUGGGCUGGUGGGAUGGCUCCGCAGGGAGGGUUUCCAGUGAGAUGGGAGGAAUCUUGGACAAGUUUCACAGCUGUGGCAGCAAAAGGCACAGUGGUGACAGGAGGCUGAGCUCUCCGCUCAGCGGCCCUUUCUGGUAAAAGAACUCUUUUUUUUUCCAAAGCAAAUAAUCACAGCAGCAAAAUUACUGCGCAUCUUUUCAAGGUGUGGCAUAGCGUAUUUUCUGCUUGCAGCCCCAAGAUUAAUUCAGAAUAUAGCAUCGAGCUUCCCACCUUCCAGAAAUUAAAUGUCAUGAUCUCAUGCAAGUCCUGUAGGACAUGGAUGGGGAGGAAGAGGGAGACAAAAGAAUCGAGGGAAAACCGCAUCAUCCAUCCAGAUCUGCAUUAGGCCCAACAUCUGUAUCCUGGGAUCAGAUUUCUGCUGAGAUUUCGCUCGAGGGCAGCUUGUCCUUCCUGCUGGGAAGAGACCACUUGCCACAGCAUGAGCGUGGCUGUGUUGGGAAAGUUGGGGGAAAAGCGAUAUAUAGGAAAUGGGACCCCGGGUGGGCUCCAUUUCUUUGGGGGAGCCCACGUCCCAGCAGCAAUUCCACCGGGCAACAACCCCAUCUGCAGGGCUCCUAAACCUGAAAGCAGCGCCGUAUCUGAACGGCCUAAGCCAAGCGAGCCCAUGACAAGGAGUGCGAUUUCGGGCAGUCGAGAAGUCAAGCCUGUGCCACGAGCUGAGAGAGCCCAGCACCGUGCGCAGCAAGGCAGUAUGGAUGUGUAGGCUGCAAAAUUACAAGCUGCUUCUUGCCAAAUAUGUGGCUGCAACGAGCACGCUGAAGCAGACUGGGUUUCCCUUUCACCCUCGUCUGGCCUCCUGUUAGUCUAUGCCUCUGCAGGGUGUCUGGAUGAAGUGCUAAAAAGUGGAAAUAGAGAUACAGAAUGAAAAACUUGAAUAAAACAUCCAGGCUCAAGAUCUGUGUUUGCAUGCUGGCUGAAGAAAUCGUGGGCAUUUCGUAAUGAAAGCUGAGCAGUAUCCACGGUGGGGGAUGAUGUUUCCAUGUAAGGAUUCCCACCAAUGGGCAAGACCAGAUAUAUACUGCACCACUGGUGUCAGCUGGAAGAAGCCUAUUUUUUGGGUUUGUGUCCAACAGAAUCGACCAGAUUCUUUUCUGGUCCACACAUUUUCAAGUGUUUGCAGUCAUCUCAGAUCUUCACAUAAUCAAAUUAAUUUCAAUACUUUCUUAAAAUACAAAACAGUUUUAACUGAGCACAUUGGUACCUGGCAAAACCUCUUUUCUCAUAAAAAGACCAAGGAUAGGAUAGGAUAGGAUAGUUUAGUUGGAAGGGACCUACAACGAUCGUCUAGUCCAACUGCUGGGCUGGUGGAAGUUCCUUGCAGUUGGGAGUUCGCUAAAGGCACGCCAGGGUCACGCUCCAGCCCAUUUUGCUUUCCCUUUACUCCUUCUGUUGGCCUGCAGAGCUUCUGAGGUGCCUGCAUGAACUUCGCAGUUCACCAUAGUGUCUGUUUGCCAAGUGUUUACUUGACCUAAAUUCUUUUGAAAAACCAUCAUUUGUGACAACUGUAGCGCAGAACUGGGUAGCUGGUUAAUAAAUGCUGUGACCUGGACACACAAGCUCUGCCAUUUUGUUAUCAACAGUAUAGGCAGUUAUUUUUCUAUUUUAUUUAUUUUUUAAUGUUAGCUGUUUUCUUAAACUGUGGGUUUUUUUAACUAGAAGAUUGAGCUGUUUCAUAUAUGUCCUAAAUUGCUAGUUUACCUUUCGGUCCCUAGCAUAACAUCUCUUCAGAAAGGUAUUUAAUUCUGAAGACAAUUGUGCUUCUCACUGAGUGGUUACAUCAUAGCUGGUAACUCACUGGAUUCAGAUCUCUGCUUUCAACACCAAUUGUUACUAUGACACAAUUAAAGGCAGAAAAAAUAUUUUACCUGGUGCAACUGCUUACUACAAUUUUUCCAUUGGCAUUCUGAAUAGAUUCCAGUUAUAUUUCCUUCAUCCUGAAUCUGAUUCCUUAAAUAAGCAACUUUCACAGUCUAUCAGUUCCUCUUGCUCUAAAGAGAAACGCCAGAAAUGUCCUCAUUCUUUUUUCCUGAAGAUCAGCAACACUUUUCUAACAUGGUAGUUCAUAAUUUGAAGAAAAAAAUCUUCUAUGGUAAAAAUCAUUGAAGUACAACUGUCUAAUUAACAUGCAUUAUGUGAGCUAAAUAACUAUUAUAGGAAAUUAGGGAAGAGUAGACUCAACAUUAAACUUGCAUUUAUGAAUACCAAUGUGGAAUUGAAUGUGUGUGUAAUUGUAGAUAAGACCCCAUUUGACUACUCUAAGGGCAUUAAACUUCCCUUCCAGCUAAGAUGAGAGGAAGAAGGAAAUUCGGAACCACAUGCCAAAAAAAAAAAAAGUUUUGAAAAAAUUACAAGCCAGUCAAAAUAUUUUUCAUUGUUGUCAAAUUUACGUUAGCCCUAGUGCUAGCUGCUUCUACCUCCCGUUGGUAAAACGUUCUCCAGGGUCCGUCAAUCAGUACGUGAAAUGACGGGCCGUGAGGAUGCUCCUGAUAUGAGUUCUCCACGCGCGGAGCGAUGCUCCUCGUUGCUGCCCUUGCGCUGGCGCAACCCUGCACCAGCCCAGCUUCCCCACCAGAGCCGGCGUCUCCUCCCACCCCGCGAUGUUGAAUGCAGCCUGGCUCAGAGCCCACUGGAAGCUGGGGGUCUCUCACCAUUCCGAGGAUAAAGAUGAUGAAAUGGCAUGAAAUGAAGGCGUGGCUUAAUGCCUACCAAAAUCCCCAGGCUGGGCUGAUAGGCAGCGUGAUCUACCUCGUGCUGGUAUCUGCCUUUUUGUUUCAUGCCAAAUCCAGCAGCGUCGUUGUCUCUGUUGGCCAUGGGAAACAGAGCACCAAACUACAGGCAGUCAAGUGGUAUUUAGCUACAUCAUGAUGUCGAUGCGACAAAAUAAACCCGGACCUGAGUUCGUGUCUCUACUUGUUCUCUUCACGGUGGUCGGAGAAGCAAAAUUUGCUGCGAGAGGUUGCAUCUGGUUGUAUUGGAACAGCUGAAAAUAGCGAAAACCUGAAAAAAAUGGUUGGGGCUCAGAAUCUGUCCAUCAGCUGUGACAGACAGCCCAGCAAUUGGGAGGGGAAAAAAAAGAAAGAAAGAGGGGAAAAACCCCAUCCCAGACACCAGAAUGUCUCUUCUCCUUACCUGCCAGAAACCAUCGCUUUGUUCUUCUGGCCAAAGAAGAUGAGGGGUGUCAGCCCUUGAAAGUUGGUGUGAAAUAAGGAACCAUCGGACCCAAUGCAACCACAUAUUACUGGCCACUCCUUACAAACCAAACUGAAGUAAAUAGGAUUAAAUCAGAGUAAUACCUCAUGUGAUUACAGCUCAUUGUGUUCAAAUAAAAGCUGACGUUAUCGUGAGUGAUUUGUUUGGGGGUGGGGGUGGGGAGGAGAAUAGAUGCUACAGCUUUUGCUCACAGUCAUUGCUAUUUAUAACACUGUAAAACCACAGUGAAUGUGUUAAAUGCACUGCCACGAGCAAGUGCCGCUUAAGCUUGGUAUCAUGGCUAUAAUAAUUCAUUGCAAUGCUUAGAUGUGCCUUUAUACUAAUAAUACAUUAAUAUUAAUUCUGUAUCAGUUCUUUCAGACAUAUAAAAACUUUGUAGAUGUGGCACUUGUGAUGGUGUAACCAUAAUUUGUAACUGUAUGUGCAGCUCUGUAAUCAAUAUGGGAACACUUUAUAGUCACAUCGACCUGCUGCUUUUACAACCCCCUUCUAAACAAUUUAAAUGGAAACUGAAGAGUAAAUGUGACUGGAGUCCUCAGCCAGCAAAACUGAGAAAAGAGAAGUAUGUCAGUGCUAAUUAACUCCAGCACCCUGCCAGGCCGGGCUCUCAGCAGCUCUGCAGGCUGUAGCACGGUUACUGCGGGUUCAGUAGUAUUCCGUCUUAAUUUGUUCAGAGGGGUGGGCAACUACUAUUCCAGCAGCGAUCGAGUGCUGGUUAGAUUAUUAUCCCCCAAACUGGUCCUAUUGUCUGUAGUACUUGGGUCUUUCUCUCUUCGUACUCUUCUUGUUUUGCCCUGGCUUCUCUGUGCUCUGUAACUGCAUCUCCUCUCCCUAAUGAGGCUCAGGAAAUCUGCCUGGGGGAGGGAAGAAGUCCUGAAUGCAGAAGAGGCUACAGGAACGUGGCCCAUUUUAUUUUUACUAUUAUUUAUUGUAUUUUCUUAGUGUUAAUUUAAGUGGGUUUUGAACUAUGAGCUUUAUGAACUACUUUUAAACUGUGCUGAUGCAAAA